UUCACUGGUACAAUCUGAUUAAAGAGGGAGGAGAAUGAAUGAGUGACUGUGCUUCCCCGAGCAAAAUAUUGGGGGGAAAAACAGCUUUAAAGCUAGACUGGGAGCCCUUAUCCCCACAACUGCACUCACAGAAGCAGUCCCAGUGAAAUGAAUGGGAUUACCUGUGAGAAUAACUGCUCACCGUGUGAGAAACAGGCUCAAGACUUGACCGUAAAAAUAGUUAUAGACGGGCUUGUGUUUAAACCUAUGGAAAUUGGGAAAUGAAUGGACAUCUGCAUCCUGCUCUGAUACCCAUUGAUAGAGUCACCUUAUUAAAUAAUAAAUCUACCACCGUACCCACCUUAUGCCAUAUUCCAUUGGGCAGAAAGGGCUGACUCAGACUCCAGAAUCUGUCAGUGUUUCCAGGGGACACAGUCACUAUCAACUGCAAAGCCAGGAGUCCUGUGGCCAAAUUGUUUUGACGCAGACUCCAGAAUCCCUGUCAGUGUCGCCUGGACAGAGAGUCACCAUCAACUGCAAAGCCAGUACCAGCAUUAGCAUCUACUUAGGCUGGUACCAACAGAAAUCGGGACAAGCACCUAAGCUCCUUAUCUAUGAUUCUACCAACCGUGUCUCUGGGAUCCCGGACCGGUUCAGCGGCAGUGGGUCUGGGACUGAUUUCACUCUCACAAUCAGCAGCGUUGAAGCUGAAGAUGUUGGAGAUUAUUACUGUCAGCAACACCAGAGCCUCCCUCUCACAGUGAUACAGACCAUUACAAAAACCUCCCUGUAAACAGAGAGAGCUGAUGCUUAUCAUUUGUUACAGCUGUGAGCAGAAGGGUGAAUUUUAUGAUUUCAUGCAAAUAAAACACAGGAAGUAACUCAAAAUACACCUGACACUUUUAUAGCAGCAACGAUGCCAAAGUCAUCAAUAAACAAAAUACAGGGACCAGUUCCCCCUCCUCUG